rnacentral:rRNA from 1 species
CAGUCGCCGCGGUAAUACGGAGGGAGCUAGCGUUGUUCGGAAUUACUGGGCGUAAAGCGCACGUAGGCGGCUACUCAAGUCGGGGGUGGAAGCCCGGGGCUCAACCCCGGAACUGCCCUCGAAACUAGGUAGCUAGAAUCUUGGAGAGGUCAGUGGAAUUCCGAGUGUAGAGGUGAAAUUCGUAGAUAUUCGGAAGAACACCAGUGGCGAAGGCGACUGACUGGACAAGUAUUGACGCUGAGGUGCGAAAGCGUGGGGAGCAAACAGGAUUAGAUACCCGGGUAGUCCCUGUCUCUUAUAC